CUACGUGCCAGCAGCCGCGGUAAUACGUAGGUGGCAAGCGUUGUCCGGAAUUAUUGGGCGUAAAGCGCGCGCAGGCGGAUCAGUCAGUCUGUCUUAAAAGUUCGGGGCUUAACCCCGUGAUGGGAUGGAAACUGCUGAUCUAGAGUAUCGGAGAGGAAAGUGGAAUUCCUAGUGUAGCGGUGAAAUGCGUAGAUAUUAGGAAGAACACCAGUGGCGAAGGCGACUUUCUGGACGAAAACUGACGCUGAGGCGCGAAAGCCAGGGGAGCGAACGGGAUUAGAUACCCCGGUAGUCCUGGCCGUAAACGAUGGGUACUAGGUGUAGGAGGUAUCGACCCCUUCUGUGCCGGAGUUAACGCAAUAAGUACCCCGCCUGGGGAGUACGACCGCAAGGUUGAAACUCAAAGGAAUUGACGGGGGCCCGCACAGGCGGUGGAGUAUGUGGUUUAAUUCGACGCAACGCGAAGAACCUUACCAGGUCUUGACAU
rnacentral:rRNA from 1 species